UCUAGUGAGAGCGAUCCAUUUUCAGUUAAAAAAUCGCUGUCAAUAUCUCCGCCAAAUAUAUGAAGACUACGUUACAAAUUUGAAUUUGGGCAAUGGCAUCUAUGCCAUCAAAUUUUUUUGGACAAAAAAGAAAUUUCCAACGAAAUGGUGGAACAAAGGCCGUUGUUUCUAAGAAGUCAUACGGUGAAACAUUUUUGCAAAAUGAGUGGAAUCCUUGUCUUCGCUUGCAUAGGUGUUUCCUUUUAUAUGGUUGCCUUAUUUUAAUGAAUUCUGAUUCAGUUUGUUAAUUUGGAUUCAGAAGAAUAAACAAUUACUAAUGUUUGGUCGACAUAUCCAACUAUAAACAAUUACGAUAAGCUCCUCAAAGAGCCCUCAUUGUGGUCAAAUAAUAUUGCAAUAAUUUUGUGGUAAAUUUGUGUGCAGUUUUUUGUUGUUGCUUUUUUAUGGGAUCAAUGAUUUCGAACAUUUUCCCAGUCCGAAGGCAGAAAGUGAACGGUGAUUGUAAAAUAUUUGUGGGAUCGCAAUUGCUGCGGAGGAAUUAAGAACACCACAACACUCAACAACAACAACAAAACAAACCAACAGCAAAAAUCCAACAAAAAGUAGAAAACGGAUAAUAUAAAACGAGUUAUUCUUCUUCGUAUUUGCCAAUAGCAUGAAACAAACCAAUGACGACGACAACAACAAGAACAGCUUCCAUUGUGGCCCAACAAAUGGCAGCAUAGAAAUACAAAACGCGUUAACAGAUUGUGUUGCAAAUUGAGUGUAUUUGUCGUUGUGUUUGUGUGCGCUUUGUGUUUUCGGUUGAAAUCAAUAUUUAGUUUGUGUUUGAGAUUCCGGUUGCAGGCGAUAGCAACCGGAAACGGAAAUUUCAAUUUCAACAUACUUAUUGCUUAUAUCGAAGAAAGAUAGAUUGUUAGAUAGAGCAGAGCGAACUAAACCAUUUGUGGCAGUAAACUAAAAAGUUACCUUCGUUUGAAACAAAAUCCACUCCCAUUCUGACCACCGCAAUACCGAAAAGACCACAAAACAAAUCCAGGAACCACUGUAAAUGUCAAUACGGAAAUAGUGGAGAGCCAUUGAGAUUGGUGUAAUUAAAAAUCUCUCUAUUCCGGGAAAAAAGUAUUGCAAUAAGUUUUAUUUUGUUGUUUGUGGCCCAAAGUUUUUCGGACACAUAGUAUCCAUCCAUUGAAUUCGCCUGAGAGAGCAGCGUUAAUUGAAAAACUCAUUGAACUGUUAAGAAAUUUAUGUGGCAUUGCAGUGCCAUUAUCGCUGGAAUGUGAUUUGAUCAUCAUUUAAGCAGCUAAGCGAUACCUCAUUUCAAUUGAUGAGAAAUUUCUUGGAACAGCAUUGCGGAUUGACAAAAAGGUCAAGACGUGUGGAAUGCCAUCAAUUCGAACGAUGCGUAACCCAAUUUCACGCACACAAAUGUAUUUUUAAUGUGAAAUAAAAGGACGAAUAUUGACGAAUGGAAAUUAAAUCAGAAUAGGAUAUUAACACUGUGUGACAUUUGGACCAACACAAAAAUCUGUGGUCGGCAAAAGCAUUUCAAUCAUUUCAAGCUGAAAAGUUUGAGGCGGAUGUUUUCGAAGAAACGUGUCUGAAAU